ACCUCUUUCCUCUUAAUAUAUAUUUAAAAGGUCUCACUCCAUAAAUCAUUUCUCAGCCACUAGUUGUUAUUUAUUUUUCAGCCACUAGUUGUUAUUUAUUUUUCGUCUGGGAUAUUUUUGGCUUGGACUCAUCAUUCUAGUCUACUAAUUUCACUCUAAACUAAGGAUUUCGUGACCGUCUACACGUAUUCGGUUAUCUCAGUUUUGUGAUCAUCGCUUAAGGUUAUCAAGACAAUCUGGGACGGGAUAUAGAAGAGUGCUCGAGUAUAUGAAAAAGACCGUAGAAAUAAUGUACUGGAUUAGAUAUCCUAUUUCCAUUAAGUUGUAAAGCCUUGUAAUACAUUUAAGUAUUAAUGGAAUUAUGUUUUUGAUC